CAGUAUUACAUCUCUUUUAGAAUUUGUCUGGCACAUUUUCUGGCUUUUACCCAGAAAUCCCCC
rnacentral:snRNA from 1 species